rnacentral:rRNA from 1 species
GACGUAGGGGACGAGCGUUGUCCGGAUUUAUUGGGCGUAAAGAGCGCGUAGGCGGCUUGGUAAGUCGGAUGUGAAAUCCCGGGGCUCAACCCCGUGACUGCACCCGAAACUGCCCGGCUAGAGGUAGGUAGGGGAGAUCGGAAUUCCUGGUGUAGCGGUGAAAUGCGUAGAUAUCAGGAGGAACACCUGUGGUGUAGACAGCUUACUGGACCACGACUGACGCUGAGGCGCGAAAGCGUGGGUAGCAAACAGG